ensembl:lncRNA
AUGUUUUAUUGCCGCCGCGGCUGCGGCCGGGCCGGGAGGAUGUGUGCGUGCGUGCGUGUGUGUGAGUGUGUGUGCGCGCGCCCCGGGGGCAGGGAGGCGGGGGGCGGCGGCGGGCGGCGGAGAGCGGGGGCCGGUUCCUGGUCCCCGGGAGAAGCCAAGAAGGCAACUAAUCAUAAACCUGGAAUUCUAAGGCGAACAUGCAUAAGACACGGUGAGCAAACCAAGAUGUUCUCUGGGCAUGACUUGAACAAGCCAGGAUCAGUGAGAACGGGAGUAAUCAGUGGGAGGAAAGGACUGGAGGAAUAGAACAGAGGACCUGUCAGGAGGCUGGCUCAAUAGACCAGGUGACAAGGAAGGAAGGAUGAAAGUCUGAGGACCCUGACACAAGGUGAGUGAUGGAGGAAGGCUGAGGAUGAAAAAUGAAUGAGACCUGUUUGUUGACUGACAUAGAGGUCAGGAUGAAGCCCACAUUACUAGGUUUCUAGGCCACGUGACAGGGUGAAUGGUGACUGCAGAAUAACCCCAGAGACAGAGCAGCAAUUUAAAACAGGAUUUCAGACAGAUGGAGAGAGAGAGAAAAGUGGACUUUCAUUUGAUGCAUUCUGUUUUUUUCCAUGUUUGAAAAGAAAAGGAUAAAUGCAUCUAUUCCUUGGAGUUACUAAUUAAUUAGUAUAUAUGAAAGCACCUAGGACAUGCCAGUCACAUAGUACCUUCCCAAUAAAUGCUAAUUCCAUCCAUUCAUCUAUUUAUUAUUUAUAUCAGUUUGCAAGUUUGGAGAGAAAUAAUUAGUUUAAUUAGGACCAUAUCAAACAUUACAAACUCAUUCUGAGUAAAGACAUCUUUAGCCAAGGGGCUCUCUGUAGGCUCAGAUCACUUCCAGCCACUUGAUUGGACCAUAGUUCAAGGCCAGAAAUUUGUUUUCACAAACAUCAGGACUUUUUUUCUCUCUUCCUUUCAUUACCAACCCCCUGCCCCUGCUGCCAUCCUUUUCUAGGUCUCUCAUGUAGUAACUGCCAAAAAAUAAAGUGCACAAACAUUAUGUGAAAAGCAUAUAUAUAUGUGUGUGUGUGUGUGUGUGUGUGUGUGUGUGUGUGUGUAUAUAUAUAUAUGAAGUCCCACUCGGUUGCCAGGCUGGAGUGCAGUGGCGUGAUCUCAGCUUACUGAAACCUCCGUCUCCCAAGUUCAAGAGAUUCUCCUGCCUCAGUCUCCCAAGUAGCUGGGACUACAGGCGCACGCCACCAUGCCCAGCUAAGUUUUAUAUUUUUAUUAGAGACGAGGUUUCACCAUGUUAGCCAGGAUGGUCUCAAUCUCUUGACCUUGUCAUCCACCUGCCUCUGCCUCCCAAAGUGCUGCGAUUACAGGCAUGAGCCACCUCGCCCAGCUGUGAAAAGCAUAAUUAAUUGAACUCAUGAGUUUAUUCAGUUGACUCUUCUGAGGACAUACCUGUGCCAGGCCGUUGUACAUAGAUGUGGGAGAGACUGUGGCAUCCUCCUCUUCUCCAUAAUCGGACAGUACUGUUAGCACUGAGGCUCACAGAGUUGCCUUGCCUUGGGAGAUGCAGGCUCCAGUGAGAGUGCCCCAUGGAGCCUGGCCUCAGUUGCAAGCCUUCAAGGUGAUGAGCAACGCCAGGCACUCUUGCUCAGGC